rnacentral:rRNA from 1 species
CCUACGGGAGGCAGCAGUGAGGAAUAUUGGUCAAUGGACGAGAGUCUGAACCAGCCAAGUAGCGUGAAGGAUGACUGCCCUAUGGGUUGUAAACUUCUUUUAUAUGGGAAUAAAAUGUUCCACGUGUGGGAUUUUGUAUGUACCAUAUGAAUAAGGAUCGGCUAACUCCGUGCCAGCCGCCGCGGUAAUACGGAGGAUCCGAGCGUUAUCCGGAUUUAUUGGGUUUAAAGGGAGCGUAGGUGGAUUGUUAAGUCAGUUGUGAAAGUUUGCGGCUCAACCGUAAAAUUGCAGUUGAAACUGGCAGUCUUGAGUACAGUAGAGGUGGGCGGAAUGCGUGGUGUAGCGGUGAAAUGCUUAGAUAUCACGAAGAACUCCGAUUGCGAAGGCAGCUCACUGGACUGCAACUGACACUGAGGCUCGAAAGUGUGGGUAUCAAACAGGAUUAGAUACCCUAGUAGUC